UACAGAGGGGGCAAGCGUUGUUCGGAAUUACUGGGCGUAAAGGGCGCGUAGGCGGCCUGCUAAGUCGAACGUGAAAUCCCCGGGCUCAACCCGGGAACUGCGUCCGAUACUGGAUGGCUUGAGUUCGGGAGAGGGAUGCGGAAUUCCAGGUGUAGCGGUGAAAUGCGUAGAUAUCUGGAGGAACACCGGUGGCGAAGGCGGCAUCCUGGACCGACACUGACACUGAGGAGCGAAAGCCAGGGGAGCAAACGGG
rnacentral:rRNA from 1 species